UACGUAGGGGGCUAGCGUUGUCCGGAAUCAUUGGGCGUAAAGAGCGUGUAGGCGGCCCUGCAAGUCCGCUGUGAAAGUCGGGGGCUCAACCCUCGAAUGCCGGUGGAUACUGUCGGGCUAGAGUGCGGAAGAGGCGAGUGGAAUUCCUGGUGUAGCGGUGAAAUGCGCAGAUAUCAGGAGGAACACCGAUUGCGAAGGCAGCGCGCUGGGACGUCACUGACGCUGAGACGCGAAAGCGUGGGGAGCAAACAGG
rnacentral:rRNA from 1 species